UAGGGAAUCUUCCGCAAUGGACGAAAGUCUGACGGAGCAACGCCGCGUGAGUGAAGAAGGAUUUCGGUUCGUAAAACUCUGUUGUUAGGGAAGAAAAAAUGUAUAGUAACUAUAUACAAAAGAGACGGUACCUAACCAGAAAGCCACGGCUAACUACGUGCCAGCAGCCGCGGUAAUACGUAGGUGGCAAGCGUUGUCCGGAAUUUUUGGGCGUAAAGCGCGCGCAGGUGGUUUAGAAAGUCUGAUGUGAAAGCCCACGGCUCAACCGUGGAGGGUCAUUGGAAACUAAUAAACUUGAGUGCAGGAGGGAGAAGUGGAAUUCCUAGUGUAGCGGUGAAAUGCGUAGAGAUUAGGAGGAACACCGGUGGCGAAAGCGGCUUUUUGGCCUGCAACUGACACUGAGGCGCGAAAGCGUGGGGAGCAAACAGG
rnacentral:rRNA from 1 species